AAUAAUUAAUCUGUAUAUAUGAUAAAUCAACUUUGCUUAACGUUAGUUAUAAUGACAGUUAGAAUGAAAACAAGUAGAGUAAAAAAUAAGAGCAGAAAAGAAUUGACACAAUCGAUCUUUGUUAACACAAUUUAGACACAAUGAUCCUACAUCUGCGAAGCCUCGUCCAAUGAAUGAUUUUAUACAAUAAUCUUCUGAAUCACAUAUUAACUUAAGUCCAAUAUACCCUUACACAAAGAAGUAACUGCAGCCCCAAUACCGACCAAAUUGUCACAAAUCAAUCACUCAAAUACCUCACAAUACAAUCAAUAAGCUCUCUGUAAUGACCCAAAAUUUAAGGGCAUCGAAAAAGUGUGUUAUCAGGCCUUCAUUUUAGUAAAGCGGAUUCGUAAAUAUUUAUUUAAAAUAUUUAUGAAGUUAGUUGUGUGUUUAAUUAAGCUUUGGUUAGGUGAAUUAGCUAGAAUUAAGAAUAAUUAGGAAAAGGGACUAAAUUAAAAUAGGUGUGAAAGCUUAAUUAAAGAUUAAAGAAAAUAAAAAGGACUAAAUAGGAAUUAUGCCCAUUACUAAUUUUGAGGCGGCAUAAGCAUAAAAAUCUAAGAUUUUUAUGUGUUAAAAUAUAUUAUUAAAUUAUUAUUAUUAUUAAAUAAAAUAAAUAGAGACAAAUGUAUGGUAAUGAAACCAUAAAUGUGUAAUAAUAAUAAAUAUAUGUACACUUGUAAUAUAAUUAUAUAUUUAUAAUAUAAGUAAAAGAUAUUUAUAUUAUUAUAAUAUAUUAUUAUUAAAUUAAUAAACAAAGGAAUUAAAAUAAAAUAAAUGAAAUAAAUGAAUAAAAAGAAAUAAAGAACAGAAUUGGGGGACGAAAACAAAGAAGAAAAGAAGGAAAGAAAGGGAAAGAAAGGAAAAAAGGAAAUUAGGGAUUUUAAAGUUUGAAGUUUAAUUGGUAAGUCAAUUUAAGUCCUUUUCUUGUAAUUUUUGAGUUUUUAUGAUCCUAGAACAAAAUACUACUAUGUAUAUGUUGAAAUUUUGGAAGUAUUAGAUUUUUAGAUACUAAUUUUGUUGAGUAAAAGUGUGAAUUAGAGAUUGAAUUAAUAGAAUUUCUAAUUAGAAUUGGGAGAAGGAUUAAAUUGUAGAAUAGGCUAUAAAUUUUUGUGUAAUAGGGACUAAAUUGCAAGAAAUUCGAAAUUAGGUAUUUAUGAUGAAAAUUAGAGUUAAGUUUAAGUUUGGUGGAAAAUUGAAUAUAAAUAAGGUAUGAAUUGGGAUGGAAAAAUAGAUGAUUUUGGUUAAGGAUUAAAUUGGAAUUAAGGUAGAAGUUAAAUAGGAAAUUCAAGUAUUCGAUAUGAACAAUUGUUGUAUUAAUAAUUGUAAAUUAUUUUAAUUUUCAUAGCUAACAUCAAACUGGAGACAUCGGCUCAGAAGGAAAAGAAAAAGAUUGCCGGAGAGUAACUCAGGAUAAAUUCUGGUUUGUAUUACUAUAAUUCAAAUUUAUUUAUUAUUAAUUAUGAAUAGUGAUUAAUAUGCAUGGUAAGAGAAAUUAAGGUAAGUAUUGAUAUUGAAUUGAAUGAAAAUGUAUUGAAUUGUGAAAAUGUGUGAAUAUAUGGAUUGAAUAUUGAUUGAAAGGUGGAAAAUGAUUGAAUUGAAAAUGUGAGAAAUAUGAAAAUGGAAUUAAGUUGAAUUAUGAGUUUAUGUGAUUAUUUGAAUUGAAAUGUGUAUUGAUUGAAAAUUUAAGAGUGAUUUGGAAACCCUAUUAAUUGUAUCAGGCUGAGUUGGAUAUAGUUUGCAUGCCAAAUGAUUGGAAGUGUUCAGAGAUACUUCAACUUCUAGUCGAUAAGACACUGGGUGUCUCUAUAUUACUUCGGAUAGAUUCGAUGAGGUACUGGGUACAAACUUACUUCGGCUUGGCCGAUGAGACACUGAGUGCCAAUUAUUUUCUUCGAACUAUCCGAUAAGGCACUAGGUGCCGUAUUGGAGUGUUUGGUUGGAUCUAUAUAUCCGCCAAAGUCCAAGUCUUGUUAAUAGGGGUAACGAAUGAAAUGGUAAAAUUGAAUAAAAGUAAAUGAUCUUGAUUGAGAAAUGAAAUAAGAAAUUAAAAUUGAGAAAUGAGAAUGAAUGAAUGAACCAAAGGUUCAGGGAAUGAUUGAUGAACCAAUGAAAUGAGAUUAUGAAAAAUCAUAGUAUGAAUCAUUGUUCAUGAAUAGACAAUAGUGUAUUGAUGAAUGAAAUGAGUAAAGAAAAGCUAUUUAGAAUGGCUAUGGUUGUUAUGUAAUGAAUAAGUAUAUUUUGUUGAUUUGUAAAUUUUAAUAAGCAUCAUUUGUAUGUUAUAUCAUGUAAUUUGAAUUAUAGUAAUACCACUGAGUAUAUCUAUACUCAGCGUACGGUUGUUUUCCAUGCGUAGAUUAGUUAAAGUCAAAUGUUCCGGUCCAGUAUCCAAAGCCAAUCUCGAUCUCAGAAAACUUUGGUGAUGUAUAUUUCUUUUGGUAAAAGUGACAUGUACCUAGGUUAUGUAUGAGUCAUUUUUGAAUUGGUAGUAAAUGAUGUGUUUGAAUGGUUAUGUGAAAUGAUAAGACUAUGAAAUGGUACUUUUGAUAUAAAGUUUAAAAAUGGAAAUUAAUGAAAUUAACUAAAUUAAUUUGAAUAUUAUAUGUAAAAUUCUUAUAAUUCAAGUGUAAUUGUGUAUAAAAUUGUAUUGGUUGUUAUAUUGGUUUGAAUUGGGUACAUUUUAAGUUUGCAGGGUUGGCAAGAUGAUUAAAAAGGGGUUAUAUUAAGUUCGCACAACCUGGUCCACACGGGUGUGUGAGCCCUGUAUUUGAGAAAAAUUUUGGAAUUUCACGAAAAAUUUCUUGAGCACUCGAAUUGGUCCCGAAUCACUUCUAACACGUAUUUUGGGCCUCGAGGGUCCUUAAAAGGGACAUUAUGAAUGUUUUACAAUAUGUAUGUUAUUUAUUUGUAUAAUGUUCGUAAUAUAUCUGAAAGGUCCGAUAAUGCUCAGUAACUCUGUUUCAAUAACAAUCUAGGGUUAGGGGGUGUUACACUCUCUCAAAUAUACCUAAAAAAGUCCCACAAAAUAAUGAUAAGAACAAAACAAAGUUGCUGACAAAGACACUUUAAAAACUACUCUUGAUGUGUGGCAUAAAACAACUUAUUUAUAGAUCUCUUCAAGUGAUCAAUCUAUAGUUUUUUUUUUAUAAGCUUUAAGCUUUUAUUCCAUUAAUUAUCCUAAAUAUUUAUCACAUAAAAGUCUUCGUAAAUCAGUCUUCCAACUGCUCCAAAAUUCUUUUGAAUAAAUAUGAUAUUUAUCUCUAAAAAUAACACUUUGAUAAUAAAACUUUCGUGCUUAUCCAAUCAUCUCAAGCAAUUUAUUUAGGAGUCUGAGCACCUUAGUGAACCCAUGUAUCUAGUUUUGUCAAAUAUGUUAAAUUUAAAUGGACUGAGCUCAACACAAACGAAAAUUAUUGAAGGCCCAAGAAAAGAAACAAUUUCGACAUAACAAAACAUAAAACGAGCAGCAACUUUCUCAAUAAUAUAAAAUUUAAAAUGCAAACUAUAUAAUUUUAAUAAUUAUAAUAAUAGGAGAAUAAUAUAUUUCCCAUUGAAUUAACGUGAAAUUUCCGGGGGAAAAAAAAGAAAACUGAUCUUGAAAUCAUGAAUACAGAAGGUUUGGUUAUGGUUGAAUUUGUGUAAGCAUUCAUUCAAUGUAUAUUUUGGUUUAAAAUAUUUGCUUUUGAAAUUUUUAAUACAUAUUUUUCAUUAUUAUUAGUAGGGUUAGAGAAAAAAUAAUGUUAAAUUGGAGAUAUUUAGAUGACCUAUAAAAUAUAUGUUUAGAAAUUGAGAUUAUUUGAAAUCGAAUCGAAUUUUUUAUUUAUUAAAUAUAUAUUUAAUUUUAUUUUUCUAUGAUAUAAAAAUAGAUAUUUUAUAUUCAAAAUAGUAAAAGUGAUUUAAAAAUUCUUAAAUUUUUAUUUUUUAAAAAAUAUUUAUGAAAAAACCUUAAAAUUUUAUAAAAUAAUAUUUAAGAAUUAUAAAAAAAUUAUUUUAUCAAAAUAAAUUUUAAAAAUUAACAUAAAAAAAUUGAAAAUCAAAUCGAGCUAAAACCAACUUAUAAUCAACUAUUAAAAAUUUUAAAAAGCUGGACGGAACCAAACUGAUAUCUCACCUAAUUAUUUGGUCAUUACGUACUAGCAACUUAUAGGAUAUUUUUUUCAGUAUCCUUUCCCAAUAAUUACGUUGCUAACCUAAAGUCAAAGAAUGCAAAUUCUUACUUUGUAAAUAUAUAUAUAAUGUAAGACCCAAUUUUAGCCCGGGCCCAUGCACAUACAAAAACCAAAGAAUAAAACAAAAUAUUAAAUGUCUAUUUACAAAUAAUAAACCCAAAAAGAAAACCAAGCACAAUUACAUUAAAAUAGCCUGGUGACAGAAGGCUCAAAUUCAGAAACCCUCGGUUCCUUUCUUCCCCUUGCGCCGCAGCCCCCCACGUUCAACGCCCCACGCACGUCAAUACGCCCACACACGACCACUAGCUCGCGCGUCCAUGACCCACGAUCAUGCACUCUCCCACGAUACCUGCAAUUUGAACAAAGAAAUAGGCAGAAACGGUUUUUGUAUUCGGCUAUAAAGUUUUUGAAUUUCGAUUGUAAAAGGGUUGGGUUUUUUUUUUAUCUUUUUUGGGAGAGAAUAUAGAUUCAAAAUCAAAAGCAAGCAGAGAUCUAUAAUAACAACAUUUGUUAAAGGUGAUUCUUUUAGUUUUUUUCUUUUUUCGGUUUUUCUAUUUUUCUUACUUUAUUUUUUUCUUUUGUGUGUAAAAAACGAUAUAAGAGAAAGAGGGAAACUCACCGGAGUUACAUCGCACUCGCAUCACAAGAAGGCCCUGCUCCGGUCGUCGUAAUCAAUCACGGAGGCAGUUGAAGGCUUGGUGUUGGCCUUGUUUGCGGCUGGAAGAAAGAGGAAAGUGGAGGAGAAGAAAGAGUUUUGGGUUUUUUUAAAAAGAAAUCAAAGUUAAAAUGUUUUUUUUAGCAAAAGAAUGACUUUAAAACAAGCUUUACUUUUAAUAAUACAAUAAAGGUUCUUGACUUUAAAACAUGUUGACC
rnacentral:lncRNA from 1 species